rnacentral:rRNA from 1 species
CCUACGGGAGGCAGCAGUAGGGAAUAUUGGGCAAUGGAGGAAACUCUGACCCAGCCAUGCCGCGUGCAGGAUGACGGCCCUCUGGGUUGUAAACUGCUUUUAUACGGGAAGAAAAAUGCUACGUGUAGCACAUUGACGGUACCGUAAGAAUAAGGAUCGGCUAACUCCGUGCCAGCAGCCGCGGUAAUACGGAGGACCCAAGCGUUGUCCGGAUUUAUUGGGUUUAAACGGGUGCGUAGGCGGAUCUUUAAGUCAGUGGUGAAAGCCUGCAGCUCAACUGUAGAACAGCCAUUGAAACUGAAGAUCUUGAAUAUGGUUAAACGUAGGCGGAAUGUAUCAUGUAGCGGUGAAAUGCUUAGAUAUGAUACAGAACACCGAUAGCGAAGGCAGCUUGCUGAACCAUUAUUGACGCUGAGGCACGAAAGCGUGGGGAGCAAACAGGAUUAGAUACCCUGGUAGUCCACGCCCUAAACGUUGAUUACUCGUUGUUGGCGAUAUACCUGGUCAGCGACUAAGACUAAGACGUUAAGUAAUACCACCUAGGAAGUACGACCGCGAGUUAGUAACGUACGAAGAGUAGUAGACGNGNGAGAGACGACGACGACGACGAGGAGGGAGGNGG